ACACCUUCCGGGGAGGGGAGAUGCCACCACGAUCAUGGAGAGGUUUUUCCCAGGAUGAUGCUUAUUCUUUGUACGCUGGAUGCACUGACCCCUGCGAUUUCCUCAAAUGGGGGAAGCUCGACUAUAUAAUUUCUGGCAGUGUGUUUGGGUUCUCCCUUAA